UACGGAGGGAGCUAGCGUUGUUCGGAAUUACUGGGCGUAAAGCGCACGUAGGCGGUUAUUCAAGUCAGAGGUGAAAGCCCGGGGCUCAACCCCGGAACGGCCUUUGAAACUAGAUGACUAGAAUCUUGGAGAGGUCAGUGGAAUUCCGAGUGUAGAGGUGAAAUUCGUAGAUAUUCGGAAGAACACCAGUGGCGAAGGCGACUGACUGGACAAGUAUUGACGCUGAGGUGCGAAAGCGUGGGGAGCAAACAG
rnacentral:rRNA from 1 species